AUGAACGCUAGCUACAGGCUUAACACAUGCAAGUCGAGGGGCAGCAUGAACUUAGCUUGCUAAGUUUGAUGGCGACCGGCGCACGGGUGAGUAACACGUAUCCAACCUGCCGAUGACUCGGGGAUAGCCUUUCGAAAGAAAGAUUAAUACCCGAUGGCAUAGUUCUUCCGCAUGGUAGAACUAUUAAAGAAUUUCGGUCAUCGAUGGGGAUGCGUUCCAUUAGGUUGUUGGCGGGGUAACGGCCCACCAAGCCUUCGAUGGAUAGGGGUUCUGAGAGGAAGGUCCCCCACAUUGGAACUGAGACACGGUCCAAACUCCUACGGGAGGCAGCAGUGAGGAAUAUUGGUCAAUGGACGAGAGUCUGAACCAGCCAAGUAGCGUGAAGGAUGACUGCCCUAUGGGUUGUAAACUUCUUUUAUACGGGAAUAAAGUGAGGCACGUGUGCCUUUUUGUAUGUACCGUAUGAAUAAGGAUCGGCUAACUCCGUGCCAGCAGCCGCGGUAAUACGGAGGAUCCGAGCGUUAUCCGGAUUUAUUGGGUUUAAAGGGAGCGUAGGCGGACGCUUAAGUCAGUUGUGAAAGUUUGCGGCUCAACCGUAAAAUUGCAGUUGAUACUGGGUGUCUUGAGUACAGUAGAGGCAGGCGGAAUUCGUGGUGUAGCGGUGAAAUGCUUAGAUAUCACGAAGAACUCCGAUUGCGAAGGCAGCCUGCUGGACUGUAACUGACGCUGAUGCUCGAAAGUGUGGGUAUCAAACAGGAUUAGAUACCCUGGUAGUCCACAGUAAACGAUGAAUACUCGCUGUUUGCGAUAUACAGUAAGCGGCCAAGCGAAAGCGUUAAGUAUUCCACCUGGGGAGUACGCCGGCAACGGUGAAACUCAAAGGAAUUGACGGGGGCCCGAACAAGCGGAGGAACAUGUGGUUUAAUUCGAUGAUACGCGAGGAACCUUACCCGGGCUCAAACGCACGACGGCGGCACGUGAAAGCGUGCUUACCUACGGGACGUUGUGCGAGGUGCUGCAUGGUUGUCGUCAGCUCGUGCCGUGAGGUGUCGGCUUAAGUGCCAUAACGAGCGCAACCCUUAUCGAUAGUUACCAUCAGGUUAUGCUGGGGACUCUGUCGAGACUGCCGUCGUAAGAUGUGAGGAAGGUGGGGAUGACGUCAAAUCAGCACGGCCCUUACGUCCGGGGCUACACACGUGUUACAAUGGGGGGUACAGAAGGCAGCUACACGGCGACGUGAUGCUAAUCCCGAAAGCCUCUCUCAGUUCGGAUUGGAGUCUGCAACCCGACUCCAUGAAGCUGGAUUCGCUAGUAAUCGCGCAUCAGCCACGGCGCGGUGAAUACGUUCCCGGGCCUUGUACACACCGCCCGUCAAGCCAUGAAAGCCGGGGGUACCUGAAGUGCGUAACCGCAAGGAGCGCCCUAGGGUAAAACUGGUGAUUGGGGCU
rnacentral:rRNA from 1 species